GGGUAACCUGCCUGUAAGACUGGGAUAACUCCGGGAAACCGGGGCUAAUACCGGAUGGUUGUUUGAACCGCAUGGUUCAGACAUAAAAGGUGGCUUCGGCUACCACUUACAGAUGGACCCGCGGCGCAUUAGCUAGUUGGUGAGGUAACGGCUCACCAAGGCAACGAUGCGUAGCCGACCUGAGAGGGUGAUCGGCCACACUGGGACUGAGACACGGCCCAGACUCCUACGGGAGGCAGCAGUAGGGAAUCUUCCGCAAUGGACGAAAGUCUGACGGAGCAACGCCGCGUGAGUGAUGAAGGUUUUCGGAUCGUAAAGCUCUGUUGUUAGGGAAGAACAAGUGCCGUUCAAAUAGGGCGGCACCUUGACGGUACCUAACCAGAAAGCCACGGCUAACUACGUGCCAGCAGCCGCGGUAAUACGUAGGUGGCAAGCGUUGUCCGGAAUUAUUGGGCGUAAAGGGCUCGCAGGCGGUUUCUUAAGUCUGAUGUGAAAGCCCCCGGCUCAACCGGGGAGGGUCAUUGGAAACUGGGGAACUUGAGUGCAGAAGAGGAGAGUGGAAUUCCACGUGUAGCGGUGAAAUGCGUAGAGAUGUGGAGGAACACCAGUGGCGAAGGCGACUCUCUGGUCUGUAACUGACGCUGAGGAGCGAAAGCGUGGGGAGCGAACAGGAUUAGAUACCCUGGUAGUCCACGCCGUAAACGAUGAGUGCUAAGUGUUAGGGGGUUUCCGCCCCUUAGUGCUGCAGCUAACGCAUUAAGCACUCCGCCUGGGGAGUACGGUCGCAAGACUGAAACUCAAAGGAAUUGACGGGGGCCCGCACAAGCGGUGGAGCAUGUGGUUUAAUUCGAAGCAACGCGAAGAACCUUACCAGGUCUUGACAUCCUCUGACAAUCCUAGAGAUAGGACGUCCCCUUCGGGGGCAGAGUGACAGGUGGUGCAUGGUUGUCGUCAGCUCGUGUCGUGAGAUGUUGGGUUAAGUCCCGCAACGAGCGCAACCCUUGAUCUUAGUUGCCAGCAUUCAGUUGGGCACUCUAAGGUGACUGCCGGUGACAAACCGGAGGAAGGUGGGGAUGACGUCAAAUCAUCAUGCCCCUUAUGACCUGGGCUACACACGUGCUACAAUGGACAGAACAAAGGGCAGCGAAACCGCGAGGUUAAGC
rnacentral:rRNA from 1 species